CAGUCGCCGCGGGAAUACGGAGGGUGCAAGCGUUAAUCGGAAUUACUGGGCGUAAAGCGCACGCAGGCGGUUUGUUAAGUCAGAUGUGAAAUCCCCGCGCUUAACGUGGGAACUGCAUUUGAAACUGGCAAGCUAGAGUCUUGUAGAGGGGGGUAGAAUUCCAGGUGUAGCGGUGAAAUGCGUAGAGAUCUGGAGGAAUACCGGUGGCGAAGGCGGCCCCCUGGACAAAGACUGACGCUCAGGUGCGAAAGCGUGGGGAGCAAACAGGAUUAGAUACCCCGGUAGUCCCUGUCUCUUAUAC
rnacentral:rRNA from 1 species